AUAGAUACCCAGGUAGUCCACGCCGUAAACGAUGAGUGCUAAAUGUUAGGGGGUUUCCGCCCCUUAGUGCUGCAGCUAACGCAUUAAGCACUCCGCCUGGGGAGUACGGUCGCAAGACUGAAACUCAAAGGAAUUGACGGGGGCCCGCACAAGCGGUGGAGCAUGUGGUUUAAUUCGAAGCAACGCGAAGAACCUUACCAGGUCUUGACAUCCCAUUGACCACUAUGGAGACAUAGUUUUCCCUUCGGGGACAACGGUGACAGGUGGUGCAUGGUUGUCGUCAGCUCGUGUCGUGAGAUGUUGGGUUAAGUCCCGCAACGAGCGCAACCCUUGUUCUUAGUUGCCAUCAUUUAGUUGGGCACUCUAAGGAGACUGCCGGUGACAAACCGGAGGAAGGUGGGGAUGACGUCAAAUCAUCAUGCCCCUUAUGACCUGGGCUACACACGUGCUACAAUGGACGGUACAAACGGUUGCCAACCCGCGAGGGGGAGCUAAUCCGAUAAAACCGUUCUCAGUUCGGAUUGUAGGCUGCAACUCGCCUACA
rnacentral:rRNA from 1 species